CACAAAAAGCAGCAAUGGAUUAGAAUGAAAAUUUGUUUAAACUACAGUUUGACUGAGGGUACUUUCCAGUCUGGUGGGUAUCAGAAAACAUCAAUUUUUAUAGAAUCUUUGUACAUCAGUCCUGUGCAAGGAAUUCAAGUAAAGGAUAAACAACAUUGCGCGUUUCUCUGUUUAAAUAAUCUUGCUAAUGGAAUCUACUGUUCACUUUUUUUGGUCAGAAAUGGGACAUGUUUUGUAGGCAAACAAAAAAAUAGGCUCCCAGGAUUUUUUCAUGUCUCUUCUAUUCAUGAACUCAGGUCUGUUGACUUUUAGAUUCUUUUUUUAAACAACAUAUUUUUUAUUUUCAUAAACAUAGUUAGUUUCACAAAAUUUUACAUGUGAUGUUAAAGAGUUAAAGGAAAUAAUGAUAAUGAUAUAAAUCGGCUCUACUUUCAUAGCUAGUAUUACAGUUAAU